ACUGUGCUGGAGGGAGGUGAGGGACUGCUGGCAGCCAGAGAGCUAGGAGAGAAUGCUGACAGAGAUAAGAGGAGAGGAAGCCAGACCUGGUGACCGAGUCUUGCUGAUGUGAAAAUGGAUGUGGCAGUAAAGAAAUUGGCAUUUAUGGCGACAGGGGUGGACAGAAGUGUGCUUGCACAUCCUUUGAGUGCUGGGGGUGAGUUCUGGUUAGAAAGUUGGGGCCACUCCCUGGCCUUGUCUCUGGGCUGUCCAGUGACCAAGAUUAACUGGUGAUCUCUGUGAUAGGCAUUUUAAGACUUAUUCCAGCCUCAGAGCAUCCUGUGCCCACACUCAGCCUUCCCACUGGGGCCACUACUUGGGACAGGGCUCCCUGGGCUGUGGGCUCAGCUCUAUGUCUGGUCAUUCUUCCUCUUUUCAUGCAUCAAACCUAGGCCCUUUGUCAUCAGGCCCUACCUCUUUGGGGCCAAUAUGAUCUGCACAUCCGUACUCAUGGUGAAAGCUCCAUGACUCAAGGCAGCCACCCUUCAUUACUUGAGUGCAAGCCACAACAUCGUCACUCCCCUUCUUGUACCCAGGGAAGACUUACCAGGGGAUCACCAAACUUCCCCGCUGAGUCCAGACACAGCCUCAGAAUCCUGCUCAACACAGCCCUCCAUUGAUCAGCCAACAUACUUAUCCUUUUCUCAAUCCAGGGAGAGUGUUGAGCUCAUACGGUACUUUCGGCACAAACCUAACCAUUCCCCCCAGGCAGCCUACCUUUUCAUCAGCUUUGUUUUUGAACCAGAAUUCAAUGCAAUUCAGCAAACGUUCUCUGAGAAUCCACCAAGUGUCAAGGAGCAGGGGUGAAUAAACAUGGUUUCCUUGCCCUAAGGAGCUCA